CACGUAGGGCGCAAGCGUUGUCCGGAAUUAUUGGGCGUAAAGAGCUCGUAGGCGGUCUGUUACGUCUGCUGUGAAAACCCGGGGCUUAACCCUGGGCUUGCAGUGGAUACGGGCAGACUAGAGGCAGGUAGGGGAGAAUGGAAUUCCCGGUGUAGCGGUGAAAUGCGCAGAUAUCGGGAGGAACACCGGUGGCGAAGGCGGUUCUCUGGGCCUGACCUGACGCUGAGGAGCGAAAGCAUGGGGAGCGAACAGG
rnacentral:rRNA from 1 species